AAAGCCUACAAAAAAAAAUCGACGACUCGCACCACAAGCGAGCGAGGGGUUCAGAGUGCCCUCGAUUCCCAUCCAGGAUCCCUUCGCUGCCGCCCUCGCUCGCACAUCAAGCGCCCUUGAUCCUGCGCCGCCGAACCUUCACCGUCAGCGAUCCCUUCGGGACUCCUCCGCCAGCCAUGCCUUACCCUCCUCUGUGUGCUGGUGGUGGUGAUGCAGCGCGUCAUCGAUCGCGAGAUCGGCAAGCCCAAGUACCGCUGCGCUUGGGUCUGUGUCGACACGGCCGCGGACGGCGGUUGCAGGACGACCGAGUGUGGCCUCCAGUACUCAACGCAAGAUCAGAUCGGCACCUGCCCGAUCCCCAUCCGAGUCCAGGGCAGGCCGUGCCGUCCGCGGUGACCGGCCAUGCUUCAGCCUUCAGGUGCUCCGGCCUGAAUCUAGGGCCGUCAGGACCGCCUCCCAGCCGUUCGACGGUUUGCCUGACUCGGCUUCCAGCAUGUAUGUAUGAUCGGUCUUACCCCGCUGCCUUCCUCUUCACCAGAGCCAAGUAUGUAUGAUCUAUCAUUGUACAUUAGCUAGCUAGGAGAUGUCAUGUUCGUGCUUUUUGUCAUCUUCCUGAACACGCAUCUGAAUGUUUGUGCAUUGGAAUGGCGGGUCUUUCGGAUCAACUGUUCCAUGCUACGACCUCAGUUUUUAAUUUGACUGACUAUCUACAAUUCUACACAUGCUCUUCAAGAUUGUUCCUGUGAGUUUCUUUAAAACCUAUUUGCACACCUAGCUAGAUCAUACAGCUGUUAACGUAUGGAGUUUUUUUUGAGAUCUGUUUAUCUCAGGGCUCUGACACGCCGGUUCCAUUUAAACAGUUUUUAGAGCUAGCAUUUUUCUGUUUUUUAUAUGGAUGAUAUGCAAAAGUAUUUAACACUGCAUUUUUUACCCAUAACUUGGUUGUGUUAAUUAAUAGUACAAACUACAUUGGACUUGUAUGUGGAUUUGAUUUGGACUUUCUGUACAUAGUCGGCUAAACGGUAUUACUUCUAAUCAUCAGUAACUUGUAUGUGGAUUUGAUUUGGACUUUCUGUACAUAAUUUUUUAAUAAAAAACACAUAUUAACUUAGUUAUCUAAACUAAUUCCUUUUCAUUUAUAUAACCUUACGACUUUGAUACACAGUUCUUGUGGCACCAGCGGCCAACUGGGAUAACAAACAAACCAGUGCAUGACAAUCUGAAGAGCCAGCAGGGGAAGUGAGUCACCUAUGAGAUAUGCACAACAGCACAACCCUCAGGCAGAAAACUAUCCCCCCAUUGGUGGUUAGCUGAUCUCAGUAUCUUAUGUAUUGCAUGAAACUUAUAGGGAAGCUCAUGUGAAAUAUGACUUUAGACAGCCUGUGUACAUGGUCAGCAAGCCACCUAUGGGACCACUGUUUUCCUGUAAUAUAUUUUCUUUGUAUUAAUAUGAACUGCAGAUCUCUUUUUUUGUUGAUAUCUUCGCUGGCGUAAUGCAUCUGAUCGGUAAGCAUUAGGAUUCAUUCAUUGUCUUUCUUUUGCUGGUUUUAGCGAAGGUGUAUUCAUGUGAGCCGAUCGAAUUCCUUCCUUUUCUUGCCUUCAACUACCUGAUGCAUGUUGCUUAUGGUUUUUUAGUCAUCAAUUUACCUUUCCGUGCAAAAACAUAUGUACCUUUGCCAUUUCUUUUGCAGAUACUGGUGAUGAGCUCAACAGCAGCAUCAUUGUUGGUAAAUACCAUCAGCACUUACAGUCUACUCCACCUACAAAGAGCUAUGGCAAGGUGCACACUUUAGUGAUGAGCUGGGAAGAGAAUGAAGUUUGUUUUUUAUCUUGUCUGGUCGUAGAUCGAGUGACAUGAAGGAUGCUGGCUGUUGGUGCUCGUUCAUCAGGAUCAUCUGAAUAAUGUUUUUCCAACACAUUCUGAUGUCUUCUCAAUUGUGCACCGGGCUCUUCUUUUAGCCAAGGACUUCUGAUAAAUAAUAAUCUAGGCAAUAAUUGAAUCCCAAGGACCCAUUGAAUUUAGAAAUGGACUCUUAUGAUGUCUGACCCCAGAAAUUCCAAUAAGCAGAGACGAUGUUUUAUUUUCUUUGUCGGUGACACAACCAAAGGGAACAUAUGAUAUUGCUACAUGCAAACUAAAAGAUAUAGCAGGAAAUGGCAAACCAGAAGGAUGAGUUAGAUGAAAAGUUUCUAGCUGAUUACCGAGGUACUACUCAACCAUAAAUCUGUAGGAAUUGCUGUUGUUUUGCGAGCAGAGAGUGGAUACUUAUAAGGAGGAAGUUGAAGCGAUGCCAACGCUUGCAAAGGAAGUGACUUUAGCUGCAACUAGGUGUGACUGGGUGCUCUGUCCUUGCCUUUAUGUGUUGUCUCCUUUGUGCAACAUCCUAGCUAAGAUUUAUUAUAUUCUCACUCGCUAAUUAAGCAACUCUUGGAAACUAAGAUGCCAACAAUCCUAAGAAGAGCAAGAUGUUGACUAAUGCACCCUCUGUCGCUGCUCCUGCCAAAGCUUGCUUCUCUUUUGGUAGCAAGAGAAGUCUCAAGGUCGAAUUUUGGGGCCGGGAAGCACUAGGUUCUCUGGUGGCCUACCACUAAGUAUCAAAGGCAUUUUCAUAUGGUUUUUUCCCGUCUGUAAGAUGGCAAUUCCAUUUACCAACCGAAAGGACAACAUUGGUCUUCAUCUUGUUGGACACCCCUGUUUGGCGUCUGUUUGAUGUCCAUCCGGACAUACGAGCAAGAAAUGAGUUUCGACCUUAAAGAUGAUCUUAAUCAUUUGUUCGAUUCAUAUUUAUGUAUUAUAGCCCGUAGCAACGCACGGGCGUUCUACUAUAUGGGAUAGCGCAUCACAGAGCCAGGUUUGAAGAUUAUUUCUCCAACGAUGUGGAGCCGCUGACGCUUACUCUCCCUGAAGACUCAGUGGCCAGCUCAGGUUCUCUGAAAAGGCAUUCAAGAAGGGAUGAAGCAAUCUUCUACUUAAUUUGGGAGCUCUUCCUUGUCAUUGCUAAUGAUACUAUGAUACUCUGAUUCCAUGAGUCCAUGAAACAAGCAAUAAUCUAUCUCAAAAAUGCGUGUCCAAGCAUAUAACAGUACUACAACUUACGAGUUCUGACUAUGGAUAUGUAGCACGUUGACAAGACGAGAAUAAUGCCUCUAAGGCAUUUGUCCCAGCUAUGCUGCUUCCCAUCAAACUCGAGCUUAGCGCUCCGUCUGCACUCGAGCACAGCUGUCGGCCAUCAGCUCGCUCGAGCAAACACCCUGGCCGUCCGCGCACGAUCUCCUCCCAGCCUUCUGGCAUGUUAUUUUUUGCAUGCAAGGCUAAGCUAUCUCCACCGGCUCCUUUUUCUGUUCGAGCUCCUCCCUACCCUGGCAAAUCCAAAUGCUACCAUCUCCUUUCCUUGGCAUGCUAAAACUUAUGUCAGUUCAUUGUCAUGGAUAGAUUAGUGAGAAUGGGAUUGGGAUCUUUACACUACAGAGGACGAGGAGCUAUAUGGGCUACGACAUGUUGCUUGAGGGUUCUGUGGUACAACAUCAAGUUUUACUCUUACACCUAUGAGAAACUUUUACCUACCUAAUAACCGCCUAUUUUACUCUCCAAUGGAUCAGCCCAUAGAUAAGCAAGCAACUAAGCUAGAUUUUCAUGGCUGAGUGCCCUAACCCAGGCUCGAAGUCAAAUUAGGUCUGAGUUUUCUUGAAGUUCUUAAAUUGGCAGUAUGGAAAUCGAGUACCUUAAUUCUUUGCUAUAUUUGUGAUACACUAAAUGUUUAUCGUGAUGUUCUUGCCGUUGAUGCUUUUCCUUGCGGAUGGCAUUUGAGAGAGGGAAAGAACGUGAAUUCUGCUUUUUAGUUGUAUCUAAUGAAAUAUCU